ACGCUGGCGGCGUGCCUAAUACAUGCAAGUAAACGCUGAAGAGAGGAGCUUGCUCUUCUUGAAUGAGUUGCGAACGGGUGAGUAACGCGUAGGUAACCUGCCUUGUAGCGGGGGAUAACUAUUGGAAACGAUAGCUAAUACCGCAUAACAAUGGGUGACACAUGUCAUUUAUUUGAAAGGGGCAAUUGCUCCACUAUAAGAUGGACCUGCGUUGUAUUAGCUAGUAGGUGAGGUAACGGCUCACCUAGGCGACGAUACAUAGCCGACCUGAGAGGGUGAUCGGCCACACUGGGACUGAGACACGGCCCAGACUCCUACGGGAGGCAGCAGUAGGGAAUCUUCGGCAAUGGGGGCAACCCUGACCGAGCAACGCCGCGUGAGUGAAGAAGGUUUUCGGAUCGUAAAGCUCUGUUGUAAGUCAAGAACGAGUGUGAGAGUGGAAAGUUCACACUGUGACGGUAGCUUACCAGAAAGGGACGGCUAACUACGUGCCAGCAGCCGCGGUAAUACGUAGGUCCCGAGCGUUGUCCGGAUUUAUUGGGCGUAAAGCGAGCGCAGGCGGUUUGAUAAGUCUGAAGUUAAAGGCUGUGGCUCAACCAUAGUUCGCUUUGGAAACUGUCAAACUUGAGUGCAGAAGGGGAGAGUGGAAUUCCAUGUGUAGCGGUGAAAUGCGUAGAUAUAUGGAGGAACACCGGUGGCGAAAGCGGCUCUCUGGUCUGUGACUGACGCUGAGGCUCGAAAGCGUGGGGAGCGAACAGGAUUAGAUACCCUGGUAGUCCACGCCGUAAACGAUGAGUGCUAGGUGUUGGAUCCUUUCCGGGAUUCAGUGCCGCAGCUAACGCAUUAAGCACUCCGCCUGGGGAGUACGACCGCAAGGUUGAAACUCAAAGGAAUUGACGGGGGCCCGCAC
rnacentral:rRNA from 1 species